UGAUCCUAUAAAUUGCCAUAAAGCAACUUCAAAAAAGGUCAAGACAGACUAUUAUGUUGCUAAAAACAGUAUAUUUAUAAUUUUUUAUGAUAUUUCCUGAAUAUUCUGAAAAAUCGGGAGAAUUUGAUAAAAAUCGGGAGACCGGGAGAUUGCAUGAAUUUUCGGGAGACUCCCGGUAAAAUCGGGAGAGUUGGAAUGUCUGGAAU